CUAACAUUUUUUCUUUUUCAUUUUUCCUGCUUUUGUCAAACUUAUUAGUAUUUCAUCAUUCUGGGAUGAAACUGGGCUGGAUAGAAUGCUUGGCAGAUGGGGCACUGGCUGCAUUUGUGCAUAUCUGAGAAGUUUCUUUUGUUUGAUUCUGGAUUCCAGAAGUUCCGCAUUGUCAGACAAGCAAACUAUUGACAUUUCAAUAUGCUGCUAUACUUGAGGAUGAGAACCCGCCAAAGUUUGGGAGAUCUUCCUGAGGGUUCCAAUAAGAAUAAUCCUAUACCGCCUCUACCAUCGAGUAUGGCGGAUGUCUUAAUGCAAAUUGAGCAAACCGUCAAGCUCUUACAGCUCUCCUCGAAG